UGAGUAACGCAAACAUUGGUGAGAAUCCAAUGCCCCGAAAACCCAAGGGUUCCUUCGCAAGGUUCAUCCACGGAGGGUGAGUCAGGGCCUAAGAUCAGGCCGAAAGGUGUAGUCGAUGGACAACAGGUGAAUAUUCAUGUACUACCCCUUGUAGAAUUUUGAGAACACACAUAGAAAUUCUACAAAAUUUUAUUUUGCUCUCGAAAAUUCUUCUCUUUUUCUCUCCAUAUUUUCAUACGUUUUCGUGAUAGACGAAGGCAAGGUCUAUUCGUUGAUCACUACAGUGGUGCUACUGCUUCGAUCAUCUUGUUGUUGUAUCCUGGGAGACAGUCGACAAAUGUUCCUCCAAGUACCAUAGAAGCGGCCAAAUCUGUCUUAAGGAAACUGUGAAAA
rnacentral:ncRNA from 1 species